rnacentral:rRNA from 1 species
GCUUAACUCCUGACUUGAUCUGGAUACUGGCAGACUUGAGUGCGGUAGGGGAAACUGGACUUCCUGGGGUACGGGGGAAUGGCGCAAAUUAUGGAAGAACCCCCGGGGGCAAAGGGGGUGCUCUGGCUGUAUAUGGACCUUAAGGACCAAAGGCUGGGGAAGCAAACAGAAUAAAAUCCCCGGGAAUCCCUGCCCGAAAACAUUAGGGGCUAGGGGUGGAGAUGGUCUCCCCUGUUUCGGUGCCGCAAAUAACUUAUUAACUCCCCCUGCUGGGGACUACCGCCGGGUUGAUACUACUCGGAAUAAUUGACGGCCCGCCGCACCGGUGGCGGAUGUGGUUUAUUAAUUCGAUGCACCGCGAACAACCUUACCUCUUGUUGACUUCUGCUGGACUUACCCUGAAAAGGGUCUUUUCUUGUGGCUAGUGCACAGGUGGGGCUGGGUUGCCUCCACCUCGUGCCGUGAAAGGUUGGGUUAAUCCCCGCACCGAGCGCACCCCUUGUAUUAUGUUGCCAGCUUCUGAUGCCCGCUACGCUGAGACUACUGCCGACAUCCCCUAGGAGGGUGGUGAUGAUGACAUCUCGUCAUGCUGCUUAUGACGUCCGGUACUUCCCUGCUGCUAUGGUGGGGCACUACGAAU